rnacentral:rRNA from 1 species
AGUGAACGCUGGCGGUAGGCCUAACACAUGCAAGUCGAACGGCAGCACAGUAAGAGCUUGCUCUUACGGGUGGCGAGUGGCGACAGGGUGAGGAUUGCAUCGGAAUCUACUUUUUCGUGGGGGAUAACGUAGGGAAACUUACGCUAAUACAGCAUACGACCUACGGGUGAAAGCAGUGGAUCUUCGGACCUUGCGCGAUUGAAUGAGCCGAUGUCGGAUUAGCUAGUUGGCGGGGUCAAGGCCCACCAAGGCGACGAUCCGUAGCUGGUCUGAGAGGAUGAUCAGCCACACUGGAACUGAGACACGGUCCAGACUCCUACGGGAGGCAGCAGUGGGGAAUAUUGGACAAUGGGCGCAAGCCUGAUCCAGCCAUACCGCGUGGGGGAAGAAGGCCUUCGGGUUGUAAAGCCCUUUUGUUGGGAAAGAAAAGCAGCAGGUUAAUACCCCGCUGUUCUGACGGUACCCAAAGAAUAAGCACCGGCUAACUUCGUG